rnacentral:rRNA from 1 species
GAUCCUGGCUCAGGACGAACGCUGGCGGCGCGCCUAACACAUGCAAGUCGAACGAGCGAGAGAGAGCUUGCUUUCUCGAGCGAGUGGCGAACGGGUGAGUAACGCGUGAGGAACCUGCCUCAAAGAGGGGGACAACAGUUGGAAACGACUGCUAAUACCGCAUAACCCGAUAGGAUCGCAUGAUCCAGACGGAAAAGAUUUAUCGGUGUGAGAUGGACCCGCGUCUGAUUAG